GUGGCCUAGUGGUAAAGCAUUCGUCUCGGGAGCGGGAAAUCACGGGUUCGAACCCCGACCGAAUCA